AAAUUGAAGAGUUUGAUCAUGGCUCAGAUUGAACGCUGGCGGCAGGCCUAACACAUGCAAGUCGAACGGUAACAGGAAGAAGCUUGCUUCUUUGCUGACGAGUGGCGGACGGGUGAGUAAUGUCUGGGAAACUGCCUGAUGGAGGGGGAUAACUACUGGAAACGGUAGCUAAUACCGCAUAACGUCGCAAGACCAAAGAGGGGGACCUUCGGGCCUCUUGCCAUCGGAUGUGCCCAGAUGGGAUUAGCUAGUAGG
rnacentral:rRNA from 1 species